UCUUGGAGAAUAUUUGGCUUGUUGCUGUGGUGGUUGUGUCACCUUCAUCAUACAGUUCUCUGCUUCAGGUGCUCGAGAUGAGCUUGUUGGCCUCUGCUGCAUUUACACACCCAGAGAGAGAGAGAGGUUUUUAGGGUUUUUGGUAGGGAGGUGGUGAGAGGGAAGAACGGGUAAGUGAAUUGUGGUUUGGAAGGUAUUUCUGUUGGUUAGGGAGUUGGGGUAUUCCCUUUCUGGGUUGGUUGGCUUUUUAACGACUUGGCUUUUUAGGCGGG
rnacentral:misc_RNA from 1 species